rnacentral:rRNA from 1 species
AUUGACGCUGUAGGCAGGCCUAACACAUGCAAGUCGAGCGAGCGGCGGACGGGUGAGUAAUGUCUGGGGAUCUGCCCGAUAGAGGGGGAUAACUACUGGAAACGGUGGCUAAUCCCGCAUACCAUCGGAUGAACCCCUAUGUGAUUAGCUAGUAGGUGGGGUAAAGGCUCACCUAGGCGACGAUCCCUAGCUGGUCUGAGAGGAUGAUCAGCCAAACUGGAACUGAGACACGGCCCAGACUCCUACCGGAGGCAGCAGUGGGGAAUAUGGCACAAUGGGCGCAAGGCUGAAGCAGCCUAGCCGGUGGGAUGAAGAAGGCCUGGGGGUCGUAAAGGACCGUCAGCGGGGAGGCGUUGCCGGCAGAAGAAGCACCGGCUAACUCCGUGCAAGCAGCCGCGGUAAUUC